rnacentral:misc_RNA from 1 species
GAAAUGCGAUAAGUAAUGUGAAUUGCAGAAUUCCGUGAAUCAUCGAAUCUUUGAACGCACAUUGCGCCCUCUGGCAUUCCGGGGGGCAUGCCUGUCCGAGCGUCAUUACGCACCCUCAAGCCCGGCUUGUGUGAUGGGCCCCGGCGUCUCGUUCGCGAGACGGGCCCGAAAGGCAGCGGCGGCGUCGACCCGAUGAGCCCGAGCGUAUGGGGACUUCUGUCACACGUUCGCGGUGCGGACCGGAGCCUGCUUGACUUUUCUGAUUAUCCAGGUUGACCUCGGAUCAGGUAGGGAUACCCGCUGAACUUAAGC